rnacentral:misc_RNA from 1 species
GAUGAAGAACGUAGCGAAAUGCGAUAAGUAAUGUGAAUUGCAGAAUUCAGUGAAUCAUCGAAUCUUUGGACGCACAUUGCGCCCGCCAGUAUUCUGGCGGGCAUGCCUGUUCGAGCGUCAUUACAACCCUCAGGCCCCCGGGCCUGGCGUUGGGGAUCGGCGGAAGCCCCGUGCGGGCACAACGCCGUCCCCCAAAUACAGUGGCGGUCCCGCCGCAGCUUCCAUUGCGUAGUAGCUAACACCUCGCAACUGGAGAGCGGCGCGGCCACGCCGUAAAACACCCAACUUCUGAAUGUUGACCUCGAAUCAGGUAGGAAUACCCGCUGAACUUAAGCAUAUCAAUAAGCGGAGGA